rnacentral:rRNA from 1 species
GGGGAAUUUUGGACAAUGGGGGCAACCCUGAUCCAGCCAUUCCGCGUGAGUGAAGAAGGCCUUCGGGUUGUAAAGCUCUUUCGGCAGGAACGAAACGGCGGGCUCUAACAUAGCCUGUCAAUGACGGUACCUGAAGAAGAAGCACCGGCUAACUACGUGCCAGCAGCCGCGGUAAUACGUAGGGUGCGAGCGUUAAUCGGAAUUACUGGGCGUAAAGCGUGCGCAGGCGGCUUUGUAAGACAGGUGUGAAAUCCCCGGGCUUAACCUGGGAACUGCGCUUGUGACUGCAAGGCUCGAGUGUGGCAGAGGGGGGUGGAAUUCCACGUGUAGCAGUGAAAUGCGUAGAGAUGUGGAGGAACACCGAUGGCGAAGGCAGCCCCCUGGGUCAACACUGACGCUCAUGCACGAAAGCGUGGGUAGCAAAC